rnacentral:rRNA from 1 species
UACGUAGGGUCCGAGCGUUGUCCGGAAUUACUGGGCGUAAAGAGCUCGUAGGUGGUUUGUCGCGUUGUUCGUGAAAACUCACAGCUUAACUGUGGGCGUGCGGGCGAUACGGGCAGACUAGAGUACUGCAGGGGAGACUGGAAUUCCUGGUGUAGCGGUGGAAUGCGCAGAUAUCAGGAGGAACACCGGUGGCGAAGGCGGAUCUCUGGGCCAUAACUGACGCUGAGGAGCGAAAGCAUGGGGAGCGAACAGG